UACGUAGGGCGCGAGCGUUGUCCGGAAUUAUUGGGCGUAAAGGGCGCGUAGGCGGCCUGGCAAGUGGAAGGUGAAAUCCCUCGGCUUAACCGAGGAACUGCCCUCCAAACUGCUUGGCUUGAGUCCGGGAGAGGUGAGUGGAAUUCCCAGUGUAGCGGUGAAAUGCGUAGAUAUUGGGAGGAACACCAGUGGCGAAGGCGGCUCACUGGACCGGAACUGACGCUGAUGCGCGAAAGCGUGGGGAGCAAACGGG
rnacentral:rRNA from 1 species